UACGGAGGGGGCUAGCGUUGUUCGGAAUUACUGGGCGUAAAGCGCGCGUAGGCGGCUUUGUAAGUUAGAGGUGAAAGCCCAGGGCUCAACCCUGGAAUUGCCUUUAAGACUGCAUCGCUUGAACAUCGGAGAGGUAAGUGGAAUUCCGAGUGUAGAGGUGAAAUUCGUAGAUAUUCGGAAGAACACCAGUGGCGAAGGCGACUACUGGACGAUUUGUUGACGCUGAGGUGCGAAAGCGUGGGGAGCAAACAGG
rnacentral:rRNA from 1 species